rnacentral:tRNA from 1 species
GUGUCGGUAGAUUAGUUAGAAAAGCACUUGUCUAGCGAAUAAGGGUCGUGAGUUCAAAUCUCACCUGAGCUG